CCCUUAGAUGUUCUGGGCCGCACGCGCGCUACACUGACGAAUGCAACGAGCUUAUAACCUUGGCCGAAAGGUCUGGGUAAUCUCCAAAUUUCGUCGUGAUGGGGAUAGAUUAUUGCAAUUAUUAAUCUUCAACGAGGAAUGCCUAGUAAGCGCAAGUCAUCAGCUUGCGUUGAUUACGUCCCUGCCCUUUGUACACACCGCCCGUCGCUCCUACCGAUUGAACGUUUUAGUGAGGUCCUCGGACUGUUUGCCUGGCGGUUUACCCUGCUUGGCUGGCGGGAAGACGACCAAACUUGAGCGUUUAGAGGAAGUAAAAGUCGUAACA
rnacentral:rRNA from 1 species